UACGUAGGGUGCAAGCGUUGUCCGGAAUUAUUGGGCGUAAAGAGCUCGUAGGCGGUCUGUUGCGUCUGCCGUGAAAACCCGAGGCUUAACCUCGGGCCUGCGGUGGAUACGGGCAGACUAGAGGUAGGUAGGGGAGAACGGAAUUCCCGGUGUAGCGGUGAAAUGCGCAGAUAUCGGGAGGAACACCGGUGGCGAAGGCGGUUCUCUGGGCCUUACCUGACGCUGAGGAGCGAAAGCGUGGGGAGCGAACAGG
rnacentral:rRNA from 1 species